rnacentral:rRNA from 1 species
AGGGAAAGGCGAAAAGAACCCCGGCGAGGGGAGUGAAAAAGAACCUGAAACCGUGUACGUACAAGCAGUGGGAGCCUACUUGUUAGGUGACUGCGUACCUUUUGUAUAAUGGGUCAGCGACUUAUAUUCUGUAGCAAGGUUAACCGUAUAGGGGAGCCGAAGGGAAACCGAGUCUUAACUGGGCGUUAAGUUGCAGGGUAUAGACCCGAAACCCGGUGAUCUAGCCAUGGGCAGGUUGAAGGUUGGGUAACACUAACUGGAGGACCGAACCGACUAAUGUUGAAAAAUUAGCGGAUGACCUGUGGCUGGGGGUGAAAGGCCAAUCAAACCGGGAGAUAGCUGGUUCUCCCCGAAAGCUAUUUAGGUAGCGCCUCGUGAACUCAUCUUCGGGGGUAGAGCACUGUUUCGGCUAGGGGGCCAUCCCGGCUUACCAACCCGAUGCAAACUACGAAUACCGAAGAAUGUUAUCACGGGAGACACACGGCGGGUGCUAACGUCCGUCGUGAAGAGGGAAACAACCCAGACCGCCAGCUAAGGUCCCAAAGUCAUGGUUAAGUGGGAAACGAUGUGGGAAGGCACAGACAGCCAGGAUGUUGGCUUAGAAGCAGCCAUCAUUUAAAGAAAGCGUAAUAGCUCACUGGUCGAGUCGGCCUGCGCGGAAGAUGUAACGGGGCUAAACCAUGCACCGAAGCUGCGGCAGCGACACUAUGUGUUGUUGGGUAGGGGAGCGUUCUGUAAGCCGUUGAAGGUGGCCUGUGAGGGUUGCUGGAGGUAUCAGAAGUGCGAAUGCUGACAUAAGUAACGAUAAAGCGGGUGAAAAGCCCGCUCGCCGGAAGACCAAGGGUUCCUGUCCAACGUUAAUCGGGGCAGGGUGAGUCGACCCCUAAGGCGAGGCCGAAAGGCGUAGUCGAUGGGAAACAGGUUAAUAUUCCUGUACUUGGUGUUACUGCGAAGGGGGGACGGAGAAGGCUAUGUUAGCCGGGCGACGGUUGUCCCGGUUUAAGCAUGUAGGCGGAGGUUCCAGGUAAAUCCGGUACCUUUUAACGCUGAGGUGUGAUGACGAGGCACUACGGUGCUGAAGUAACAAAUGCCCUGCUUCCAGGAAAAGCCUCUAAGCAUCAGGUAACACGAAAUCGUACCCCAAACCGACACAGGUGGUCAGGUAGAGAAUACCAAGGCGCUUGAGAGAACUCGGGUGAAGGAACUAGGCAAAAUGGUGCCGUAACUUCGGGAGAAGGCACGCUGAUAUGUAGGUGAAGCCCCUGCGGGUGGAGCUGAAAUCAGUCGAAGAUACCAGCUGGCUGCAACUGUUUAUUAAAAACACAGCACUGUGCAAACACGAAAGUGGACGUAUACGGUGUGACGCCUGCCCGGUGCCGGAAGGUUAAUUGAUGGGGUUAGCGGCAACGCGAAGCUCUUGAUCGAAGCCCCGGUAAACGGCGGCCGUAACUAUAACGGUCCUAAGGUAGCGAAAUUCCUUGUCGGGUAAGUUCCGACCUGCACGAAUGGCGUAAUGAUGGCCAGGCUGUCUCCACCCGAGACUCAGUGAAAUUGAACUCGCUGUGAAGAUGCAGUGUACCCGCGGCAAGACGGAAAGACCCCGUGAACCUUUACUAUAGCUUGACACUGAACACUGGUCCUUGAUGUGUAGGAUAGGUGGGAGGCUUUGAAGCGUGGACGCCAGUCUGCGUGGAGCCGCCCUUGAAAUACCACCCUUUAAUGGCUGGUGUUCUAACGUAGACCCGUAAUCCGGGUUGCGGACAGUGUCUGGUGGGUAGUUUGACUGGGGCGGUCUCCUCCCAAAGAGUAACGGAGGAGCACGAAGGUUAGCUAAUCCUGGUCGGACAUCAGGAGGUUAGUGCAAUGGCAUAAGCUAGCUUGACUGCGAGAGUGACGGCUCGAGCAGGUGCGAAAGCAGGUCAUAGUGAUCCGGUGGUUCUGAAUGGAAGGGCCAUCGCUCAACGGAUAAAAGGUACUCCGGGGAUAACAGGCUGAUACCGCCCAAGAGUUCAUAUCGACGGCGGUGUUUGGCACCUCGAUGUCGGCUCAUCACAUCCUGGGGCUGAAGUAGGUCCCAAGGGUAUGGCUGUUCGCCAUUUAAAGUGGUACGCGAGCUGGGUUUAGAACGUCGUGAGACAGUUCGGUCCCUAUCUGCCGUGGGCGCUGGAGAAUUGAGGGGGGCUGCUCCUAGUACGAGAGGACCGGAGUGGACGCAUCACUGGUGUUCGGGUUGUCAUGCCAAUGGCACUGCCCGGUAGCUAAAUGCGGAAGAGAUAAGUGCUGAAAGCAUCUAAGCACGAAACUUGCCCCGAGAUGAGUUCUCCCUGAGACUUUAAGUCUCCUGAAGGAACGUUGAAGACGACGACGUUGAUAGGUCGGGUGUGUAAGCGCAGCGAUGCGUUGAGCUAACCGAUACUAAUGAACCGUGAGGCUUAACCUUACAACGCCGAAGCUGUU